rnacentral:rRNA from 1 species
GAUGAAGUGUCGUAAGGGCAUUUGGUGGAUGCCUUGGCAUGCACAGGCGAAGAAGGACGUGAUACGCUGCGAUAAGCCGUGGGGAGCUGCGAAUGAGCUUUGAUCCAUGGAUCUCCGAAUGGGGCAACCCACCUUAGAUGCUUGGAAAAUUUAAGUCGUGUUUCGAUACGGCUUAGGUUUCCAAGCAUUGUGAUAAGGUAUCUGCACCUGAAUACAUAGGGUGUAAGAAGCGAACGCAGGGAACUGAAACAUCUAAGUACCUGCAGGAAAGGACAUCAACCGAGACUCCGCAAGUAGUGGCGAGCGAACGCGGACCAGGCCAGUGGCAAUCAGGAAUAAAGCCGAACGACUUGGAAAGGUCGACCGUAGCGGGUGAUAGUCCCGUAGGCGUAGAACACUGAUUGUCCUUGAGUAAGGCGGGACACGUGAAAUCCUGUCUGAACAUGGGGAGACCACUCUCCAAGCCUAAGUACUCGUGCAUGACCGAUAGCGAACAAGUACCGUGAGGGAAAGGUGAAAAGCACCCCGACAAGGGGAGUGAAAUAGAACCUGAAACCGGAUGCCUACAAGCAGUCGGAGCUCGAAAGAGUGACGGCGUACCUUUUGUAUAAUGGGUCAACGACUUAGUGUAACUAGCAAGCUUAAGCCGGUAGGUGUAGGCGCAGCGAAAGCGAGUCUGAACAGGGCGAUUUU